CCUACGGGAGGCAGCAGUGAGGAAUAUUGCACAAUGGGGGAAACCCUGAUGCAGCGACGCCGCGUGAAGGAUGAAGGUUUUCGGAUCGUAAACUUCUAUCAGCAGGGAAGAUAGUGACUGUACCUGACUAAGAAGCCCCGGCUAACUACGUGCCAGCAGCCGCGGUAAUA
rnacentral:rRNA from 1 species